rnacentral:lncRNA from 1 species
GUGCAUCUUUAGUUAAGAGUGGGUUUUGUGCAGGGUCAGUCCCUCCCCUUGUCUGCCCCUCCUUUUCUCCUUCCUUCCAGUUUCCCGGCUGCGUGCAGUGUAUCCCCAUCUCCUUUUGACCAGUUCAGAUGAGUGAGGGUCCAGAGUUGGCCGCUGGCCCGGCCCCUUCCUCCUCGUUUGCGUAGACUUCCGUGUUUGUUCCCCACUUGUACAUACCCAGUACCCAGGCUUCCUACCUCUCUUCCCCACGCGGCUUCCACUGGGCAUCCGUCCCUGUGCCUGCCCAGGGUGACUUCCCAGCAUUGACUUGGUCCUCAUGGGGACCUGCAUGCCAAAGCCUCAUCUCUGCUUUCCCUCCCGCUCCCCAUUCUCUCCCUCCAUAGGACAAAGGGCUCUUUAGCUUCGUCAGCCUGCAGCUGUUUGGGCCCCUGGAGGAGACCGCCAGGGGAGCCCGCUUUGCCUUUGUGUCUACUGACUACUUUACAAAAUCAGUGCACGCUGCACCGAUGCGAGCCUGCGCCCCUGAGGACACCAGCAGGCAGAUCUGUGAGCUGGUGAGGAAGUUUGGCUUACCCGAAGGGAUCUUCAGUGCUCAGCAGCACGGCUACAUCCUCCAGCUAAAUAAAAUUUUGAAAAUGGCUUUGAAAAUAAAACGUAACCUGGUUGUUGAAUACAGUCCUCAAACAGACGGGUUCCUAGAAGACUCCAAGGCCUUUGUGAGGAGGCUUCUCUCCCUGGUGCUGGCAGCAAAUCCAGCCGACUGGGAUCAACACCUCCAUGAGGUUUUCUUCCUCCAGAGCGGACCCUCGGACUACGAAGAGGAGGAGGACUUGAGUAGCCUGGAGGUCGAGUUACAAGAGGCCUCCUCAGCCCCUGAUGAAAACCGGCCCCCCUCCUUCUGUGGCCCGGAGGCCCUGAAGAGCUGCCCAGAUGGUGAGAGGGACACCCCGGGGAAAGCCCGAAGACACGAGGACGUGUGUUCGCUUCCUGACGAGGGCAGCAGGGAUGUGUUUGCUGUGCUGCAGUGUGACCGAUGCCAGGCAUGGGCCCACGACUUGUGUGUGACGAGGCAGCAUGGAUGGGCGUAUCAGAAAACCAGCGUCCGGUGCAGAGCCUGCCUCCUGGCAGAUGAAGGAGCGGGGCCAGGGCCUGGGCCCUUCUCCAGAGCUCUGGAGGUAGAGGAGAGCAGGACGAGCAGGACUGUGGGGCCAACGUGGCCGGCCACCGGCACCACCGGCAGCAAACACUCGUCGUCUUCCAAGUAGCUGGUGGGCCCCGAGCCUGAGCACCUGGCCAGGGCCGGCCCCAUCUCUGCCAGGGACAGGCAGACGUGCACAGAGUGAGGGCUGUGUACAAACCCUGCUGUGAUGGGCAAAAUCACUAGAACCUCCAGUGUCUGUUCGGUGUAUUCUUUAUUCUUGGGAUCCCUAAAAAGAGUAGACCAGCUGCCCUUCUUCUACCCCCCCCACCGCAACACUUACUUGCAAGGCCUCUGUGACCUAGCUUCCACUUCCUCCUCCGAGGAGCCAGGAUGGUCAGACAACAGUCAACAUACAUCUCUUUGAUGCCUGCCUGUCACGGGACAGUCACUGUGCCCACCUCCCAGGAUACAAAGGUAGAAAUGCAGCUGUCCUACCUGAGACUGCAUCUCUGACUCUGAACCCCUAGCCCACCACCUCCCUACAAAGACACAGGAUGUUAUUCUAUUAAAAGCUAAUAUUUACUAUUUGGGGAUGGAAAUUUUGCUGUGACAAAAUUUAGUACAAAAAUAAUUUUUAUAGCUUUUUGAUUUAUCUGUAAGCCUCAUCCCUUCAAAAAAAAUCAAAUUAUUUUAAGACACUUAAAUUUUGUGAGUCGUGUAUAGUUCCUGCUUUUCUGCGCC